rnacentral:precursor_RNA from 15 species
CGAAUCGAAAUCUGUGUGUGCCCCCAUUAUGGUUGGGAUUUUUUAGAUCAGCAGUUAUUGCUAUAUUGCCAUAUUCAUAAAUUCUCUACUGGCCUACUAAGUCCCAACAUAAUGAGAGUAAAAACCACUAUUGAAAAUAAA